UACGUAGGGUGCAAGCGUUUGUCCGGAAUUAUUGGGCGUAAAGAGCUCGUAGGCGGUUCGUCGCGUCGGCUGUGAAAACCUGAGGCUCAACCUCAGGCCUGCAGUCGAUACGGGCGGACUUGAGUACUGCAGGGGAGACGUGGAAUUCCUGGUGAUAGCGGUGAAAUACGCAGAUAUCAGGAGGAACACCGGUGGCGAAGGCGGGUCUCUGGGCAGUAA
rnacentral:rRNA from 1 species